rnacentral:rRNA from 1 species
GAAAUCGCGACGGGGGAACCCCAAGUGCCAUUCUUAACGGGAUGGCUUUUCUUGAGUGUAAAAAGCUCUUGGAAUAAGAGCUGGGCAAGACCGGUGCCAGCCGCCGCGGUAACACCGGCAGCUCUAGUGGUAGCCAUUUUUAUUGGGCCUAAAGCGUUCGUAGCCGGUUUAAUAAGUCUCUGGUGAAAUCCCGCAGCUUAACUGUGGGAAUUGCUGGAGAUACUAUUAGACUUGAGGUCGGGAGAGGUUAGAGGUACUCCCAGGGUAGGGGUGAAAUCCUGUAAUCCUGGGAGGACCACCUGUGGCGAAGGCGUCUAACUGGAACGAACCUGACGGUGAGGGACGAAAGCUAGGGGCGCGAACCGGAUUAGAUACCCGGGUAGUCCUAGCCGUAAACGAUGCGGACUUGGUGUUAGGAUGGCUUCGAGCCGCCCUAGUGCCGAAGGGAAGCUGUUAAGUCCGUCGCCUGGGAAGUACGGUCGCAAGACUGAAACUUAAAGGAAUUGGCGGGGGAG